rnacentral:rRNA from 1 species
CCUACGGGAGGCAGCAGUAGGGAAUCUUUCACAAUGGGCGAAAGCCUGAUGGAGCAACGCCGCGUGCAGGAUGAAGGCCUUAGGGUUGUAAACUGCUUUUAUAAGCGAGAAAUAUGAUGGUAACUUAUGAAUCAGGAUCGGCUACCUACGUGCCAGCAGCCGCGGUCAUACGUAGGAUCCGAGCAUUAUCCGGAGUGACUGGGUGUAAAGAGUUGCGUAGGUGGCAUAAUAAGUAGCUAGUGAAAUCUGGUGGCUCAACCAUUCAGACUAUUAGCUAAACUGUUAAGCUCGAGACCGUGAGGGGUAACUGGAAUUUCUAGUGUAGGAGUGAAAUCCGUAGAUAUUAGAAGGAACACCAAUAGCGUAGGCAGGGUGCUGGGACGGUUCUGACACUAAGGCACGAAAGCGUAGGGAGCGAACGGGAUUAGAUACCCUUGUAGUC